UGAAGAUGGUGAAAUGCUAGAGUGAAUUUUAAUGUAUAUAGUCAUCUUUGCUUUGGUGUAUAGCUUUAUUUUUCUGAGGAAUUUGGAAUCGAAAUCCUACCUGGCCUCUGGAGCUGUCUGUAAUCUGUGAAUGGCAAACCACUGAUUUUCAGGUUUUAAAUUCAGCUAGGAUGUUUACUUUAACAAACCAAACAUACUAAUGAAUGGUUAAGGCUCAAAAUAUAGACUAAGUUGAAGACUAAACCCAAGCCCCUCUUUUGUCAGUACCCAUUUCCGCAACUGGUGCAUAAACUUCUCACUUGUUCCCAACCUUGGAAAACCGGCCUAUCUCUUGCCUGUACAGAAUAAACGCACUCUAUGCAGUCAAACACCACUUCAGAAUUUAUGUUAGGACAUAUAUAUUUUUUUAAUAUUUUUCUGCUCCACCAUUGAUGAAUGAUGAUAUAUCAGGCCUAAGUCUAAAAAGUUAUUUAAACGCUACCUGUAGUAAUACAUGGACUUUUGAAACCCACGCACCCUCUAAUGAGCGAAGUGCUGAAGUCACAACUGAACCAUAUCACAUGUUAUACAGCCUAUAAACAAAUCACUAAUUAUAUGAGAGAUCAAGUUUAUCUAUCUUGGAAAUCUUGAUAUCAAAGUAAUGGUGUAUGAAAGAAAACAAACUAGUGCACAAUUGAAAUAGAAAACUCAGCUUAGCUGCCUGCAAAUGUGAACCUGUUUGCAACUUUUAAAAAAUAAUAGACAUAGCAUUGCCAUCACUUUUCAGCAUUAGGUCAGUGAUUAUGGGUGUUUGGUUUGAGGAUUGAGUUAGUCCAUUAUCUUCUCACUCCUCACUUUUUUGUUCAGUUUGUGGAAUGGAACGGGUUGAUCCAUCAUCACUCCAUUCCAACAAGCUAAUAAUUAGUACUACUAUGAGAAACGGAGUCAUUCCACCAAAAUUGAUGAAUCAACUUAUAUGAUGCACCACCUCAUCUGGAAUGAUGUGAUUCCUUAAACCAAACACUAGUAUCACGCUUGACAUCUCAAUUAAGGGACACCCAGAGUUAAGGCUAGUGCAGCAAUUACACUAAGCACAUUAGGCUGUAAUCAUUGGCCCUAAGCCCCUAACAAUAAUACAGCUACGAAAACGAAUAAAUCAAUAUGGCAACUGAACUAUGUUAUGAAACGCAAAUGCUAAUCGCCGCCCACGAGCUACACGGUGCCACAGCACGCAGCUCGACCAAACCCAAAGAAUGAAGUGCAGAGAGCAACAGCCCUCACAUAC
rnacentral:lncRNA from 1 species